GCUUCACGUUUAACUGACCAGUCCACGGAUAUGAGUAAAUAUUUAUGAAUUGUUCAAUAAACAGGUUCACACAACCCACGCGUGUGUGAUUGCCGGCUAGUAGAUUUAAAUGUUACGGAAUAACACUGCUGUAUGUACUGCACUCAAUACAACACUAAACCAGCAAAAGCACUUGAUCAACUGGCUUAGUAAACAAACUGUGUCGCAUAGUUCAUCUGGUGCAAAAUUCCCUCUCAGCCAAUCAGUGACUAGCUUUUCUGACUAAGCCCCUCCCCUAAAGCCAUUUUAGGACAGUGAAGGGAAGCAAUUUACAUACAUUUCCAUUAUAUUUUUUUUCUCCUCUAUCAAUUUUAUCUUCAGGAUGAUGUGAAAGAUAAGGAAUAUUUCAACAGAAUCUUUCAUCACUUCUCUUAUGCAAGCAGCUUCAAUAUUUUUUUUUGCACAAAUAAAAAAAUAUCAUCUGAGGGAUGCCCUGUUCAACAGAACCCAGCACUCACUCAAGCCCAACGAAGCAGAAAGAAUGGUGUCAAUCUAAUUA